GACGAACGCUGGCGGCGCGCCUAACACAUGCAAGUCGAACGAGCGAGAGAGAGCUUGCUUUCUUGAGCGAGUGGCGAACGGGUGAGUAACGCGUGAGGAACCUGCCUCAAAGAGGGGGACAACAGUUGGAAACGACUGCUAAUACCGCAUAAGCCCACGGUGCCGCAUGGCACAGAGGGAAAAGGAGCAAUCCGCUUUGAGAUGGCCUCGCGUCCGAUUAGCUAGUUGGUGAGGUAACGGCCCACCAAGGCGACGAUCGGUAGCCGGACUGAGAGGUUGAACGGCCACAUUGGGACUGAGACACGGCCCAGACUCCUACGGGAGGCAGCAGUGGGGAAUAUUACACAAUGGGGGAAACCCUGAUGCAGCGACGCCGCGUGGAGGAAGAAGGUCUUCGGAUUGUAAACUCCUGUUGUUGGGGAAGAUAAUGACGGUACCCAACAAGGAAGUGACGGCUAACUACGUG
rnacentral:rRNA from 1 species